GACGAACGCUGGCGGCGUGCCUAAUACAUGCAAGUCGAGCGAAGUUUUUCUGGUGCUUGCACUAGAAAAACUUAGCGGCGAACGGGUGAGUAACACGUAAAGAACCUGCCUCAUAGACUGGGACAACUAUUGGAAACGAUAGCUAAUACCGGAUAACAGUAUUUCUCGCAUGAGAGAUAUUUAAAAGUUGGUUAUGCUAACACUAUGAGAUGGCUUUGCGGUGCAUUAGCUAGUUGGUGGGGUAAAGGCCCACCAAGGCGACGAUGCAUAGCCGACCUGAGAGGGUGGUCGGCGACACAGGAACUGAGACAGGGCCCAGACUCCUACGGGAGGCAGCAGUAGGGAAUCGUCCGCAAUGGGCGAAAACCUGACGGAGCAACGCCACGUGAGUGAAGAAGGAUUUCGGUUCGUAAAGCUCUGUUGUGAGGGAAGAAUGGAUAUGUAGUAACUAUACAUGUAAGAGACGGUACCUAACCAGAAAGCCACGGCUAACUACGUG
rnacentral:rRNA from 1 species